UCUGCAUUCACCUCUCCUCAUUUCUGCCACUGACCCAAGAAGAAGCUACCUUCAAAAUCCACUAAAAGAUGACAUCCUACACUGACAAAGGUGAAAAGCAUGAGCAGGGUUGGAAACCCUCACUU